AGACUCCGUGGGCGUAGGACCCUCCGCGCCAGGUGCGGGAUAUAAUCUUGUGGCGCGCCGUUUUUUAAGCCGGUCUGAAAAGCGCAAUAUUUGGGUGGGAGUGACCCAAUUUUCCAGGUGCGUCCGUCACCCCUUUCUUUGACUGGGAAAGGGAACUCCCCGACCCCUUGUGCUUCCCAAGUGAGGCAAUGCCUCGCCCUGCUUAGGCUCGCGCACGGUGCGCGCACCCACUGACCUGCGCCCACUGUCUGGCGCUCCCUAGUGAGAUGAACCCAGUACAUCAGAUGGAAAUGCAGAAAUCACCCGUCUUCUGCAUCACUCACGCUGGGAGCUGUAGACCGGAGCUGUUCCUAUUCGGCCAUCUUGGCUCCUCCCAACCUGCAUAAGACCAGCAUUAUAGGCACGAGGAGAUAAACGAGAAGAGGUAGAAGCAAAGCCUCUAUCAAGAAAGCAACAUUUUCUGGAAAUCACUCAGAUCCUAGUUGGAUGUUUUCUGAUUACUCAUCCUUGAAAAAGUGAAGCCAAGGUCCAAAGUCAGAAGAACAUUCCAAACUAAAUUCAAACAGAAUGACAAAUCCUAUUAGCUGCUGAAAGAAUCUAAAGGUUUUCUGCAAACUGAGGACCCAAAAGCAGAUAAAUUGUAUGUGAAUCUGGAACCAAACAAG
rnacentral:lncRNA from 1 species